rfam:Naegleria gruberi genomic scaffold NAEGRscaffold_64, whole genome shotgun sequence.
GGGGUGUUAGCUCAGAUGGGAGAGCGCCCGCUCUGCAAGCGGGAGGUCAGGUGUUCAAAUCACUCUAUACUCCA